AUUGAACGCUGGCGGCAGGCCUAACACAUGCAAGUCGAGCGGAGCGGCGGACGGGUGAGUAAUGCCUAGGAAUCUGCCUGGUAGUGGGGGAUAACGUCCGGAAACGGGCGCUAAUACCGCAUACUAUCAGAUGAGCCUAGGUCGGAUUAGCUAGGUGGUGGGGUAAAGGCCUACCAAGGCGACGUUCCGUAACUGGUCUGAGAGGAUGAUCAGUCACACGGUAACGGAGAAGCGCUCCAGACGCCUCCGGAGGGCAGCAGUGGGGGAUAUGGGACAAUAGGCGAAAGCUUGAUCCAGCCAUGCCGCGUGUGUGGAGAAGGUCUUCGGAUUGGAAAGCACUUUAAGUUGGGAGGCGUUACCAACAGGAUGGACACCGGCUAACUUCGUGCCAGCAGCCGCGGUAAUAC
rnacentral:rRNA from 1 species